GACGGAAGGUGCAAGCGUUGCUCGGAAUCACUGGGCGUAAAGGGUGCGUAGGCGGCUUGGUGGGUCUGGUGUGAAAGCCCCGGGCUCAGCCCGGGAAGGGCGCUAGAAACUGCCGAGCUCGAGUGCCGGAGGGGAGAGUGGAAUUCCUGGUGUAGCGGUGAAAUGCGUAGAUAUCAGGAGGAAUACCGGUGGCGAAAGCGACUCUCUGGACGGCAACUGACGCUGAGGCACGAAAGCGUGGGGAGCAACCACG
rnacentral:rRNA from 1 species